rnacentral:rRNA from 1 species
UCAAAAAAACAAUCUCAGUUCAGACUGCAGGCUGCAACUCGCCUGCACGAAGUCGGAAUUGCUAGUAAUCGUAGGUCAGCAUACUACGGUGAAUACGUUCCCGGGCCUUGUACACACCGCCCGUCAAACCAUGAGAGUUGGCAACACCCGAAGUCGGUAGUCUAACCGCAAGGAGGACGCCGCCGAAGGUGGGGUUGAUGAUUAGGGUUAAGUCGUAACAAGGUAUC